rnacentral:rRNA from 1 species
GAUGAACGCUGGCGGCGUGCCUAAUACAUGCAAGUAGAACGCUGAAGGAGGAGCUUGCUCUUCUGGAUGAGUUGCGAACGGGUGAGUAACGCGUAGGUAACCUGCCUGGUAGCGGGGGAUAACUAUUGGAAACGAUAGCUAAUACCGCAUAAGAGUAGAUGUUGCAUGACAUUUACUUAAAAGGUGCAAUUGCAUCACUACCAGAUGGACCUGCGUUGUAUUAGCUAGUUGGUGGGGUAACGGCUUACCAAGGCGACGAUACAUAGCCGACCUGAGAGGGUGAUCGGCCACACUGGGACUGAGACACGGCCCAGACUCCUACGGGAGGCAGCAGUAGGGAAUCUUCGGCAAUGGACGGAAGUCUGACCGAGCAACGCCGCGUGAGUGAAGAAGGUUUUCGGAUCGUAAAGCUCUGUUGUAAGAGAAGAACGAGUGUGAGAGUGGAAAGUUCACACUGUGACGGUAUCUUACCAGAAAGGGACGGCUAACUACGUG